AAACUACCAUCAAACGUUCCUAAGGUAAUCUGAUGAUUUUUUUAUGAUUUAUUGUAUUUAUAUGUUUUUUCAGCAGACACCUCAUGUAAAAAAUUCUCUAUUUAAGGAGAAAAAAGUCCUUUUUUCUGAUCUUUUUUUCUUGUUUUCAACAGAUCAGCUCAUUGACAAAACAAAUUUGAAUGAAAGUGGAUGGAAUCACAGGUUUUAAACUACCAUCAAAUGUUCUUAAGGUCAUUAAGUAAACAGAUUUGAAUGAAAGUGGAUGGAGUCACAGGUUUUAAUCUACCAUCAAACGUUCCUAAGAUAAUCUGAUGAUUUUUUUUAUUAUUUAUUGGAUUUAUAUGUUUUUUCAACAGACACCUCAUGCGUACUGCUACAUUUCACUCACACUUGAUAAUUGUUAUUGAUUGAUGCAUGUUCUCACCAUACCCCAUGUAAAAAAUUGUCUAUUUAAGGAGAAAAAAGUCCUUUUUUCUGAUCUUUUUUUCUUGUUUUCAACAGAUCAGGUCAUUAAGGAAACAGAUUUGAAUGAAACUGGAUGGAGUCACAGGUUUUAAUCUACCAUCAAACGUUCCUAAGAUAAUCUGAUGAUUUUUUUGUUAUUUAUUGGACUUAUAUGUUUUUUCAGCAGACACCUCAUGUAAAAAAUUCUCUAUUUAAGGAGAAAAAAGUCCUUUUUUCUGAUCUUUUUUUCUUGUUUUCUACAGAUCAGCUCAUUAACAAAACAAAUUUGAAUGAAAGUGGAUGGAAUCACAGGUUUUAAACUACUAUCAAAUGUUCUUAAGGUCAUUAAGGAAACAGAUUUGAAUGAAACUGGAUGGAGUCACAGAUCAGCUCAUUAACAAAACAAAUUUGAAUGAAAGUGGAUGGAAUCACAGGUUUUAAACUACCAUCAAAUGUUCUUAAGGUCAUUAAGGAAACAGAUUUGAAUGAAACUGGGUGGAGUCAC